rnacentral:tRNA from 1 species
GCCCGGGUGGCUCUGUGGGUUGAGCGUCUGACUUCGGCUCAGGUCAUGAUCUCACAGUUCGUGAGUUCGAGCCCUGCGUCGGGCU